rnacentral:rRNA from 1 species
AUUGAACGCUGGCGGAAGGCCUAACACAUGCAAGUCGAACGAGUGGCGGACGGGUGAGUAAUGUCUGGGAAACUGCCUUAUGGAGGGGGAUAACUACUGGAAACGGUAUCUAAUACCGCAUACCAUCCGAUGUUCCCAGAUGGGAUUAGCUAGUGGGUUGGUUAAGGGCUCACCAAGGCGACGCGCACUAGCUGGUCUGAGAGGAUGCCCAGCCAAACUGGAACGUAGACACGGUCAAGACUCCUACGGGAGGCAGCAGUGGGUAAGAUUGCACAAUGGGCGAAAGCCUGAUGCAGCCAUGCCGCGUGUAUGAAGAAGGCCUUCGGGUUGUAAAGUACUUUCAGCGGGGAGGCGUUACCCGCAGAAGAAGCACCGGCUAACUCCGUGCCAGCAGCCGCGGUAAUAC